rnacentral:rRNA from 1 species
GAGUUUGAUUAUGGCUCAGGACGAACGCUGGCGGCGUGCCUAACACAUGCAAGUCGAGCGGUCUCGCCUAUAGCAAAAGGCCUUCGGGCUUCGAGCAAAGGCGAGAUAGCGGCGGACGGGUGAGUAACGCGUGGCUUAUCUGUCCCAGGGAGGGGGAUAACGUCUGGAAACGGGCGCUAAUACCCCAUAUGCCGGUGAGGUAAAAAGGAGAAAUCCGCCCUGGGGUGAGGCCGCGUCCUAUCAGCUAGUUGGUGAGGUAACGGCCCACCAAGGCUAUGACGGGUAGCCGGCCUGAGAGGGCGGCUGGCCACACUGGGAUUGAGAUACGGCCCAGACUCCUACGGGAGGCAGCAGUGGGGAAUAUUGGGCAAUGGGGGAAACCCUGACCCAGCGACGCCGCGUGGAGGAAGGAGCCCUUCGGGGUGUAAACUCCUGUUGUAAGGGAAGAAGGCAGUGACGGUACCUUACGAGGAAGCCCCGGCAAACUACGUGCCAGCAGCCGCGGCAACACGUAGGGGGCGAGCGUUGUCCGGAAUCACUGGGCGUAAAGCGCACGCAGGCGGAUGCGCGCGUCGGCUGUGAAAUGCACCGGCUCAACCGGUGCACUGCGGUCGAUACGGCGCGUCUGGAGUGCGGGAGAGGGAAGCGGAAUUCCCGGUGUAGCGGUGAAAUGCGUAGAUAUCGGGAGGAACGCCGGUGGCGAAGGCGGCUUCCUGGCCCGCAACUGACGCUCAUGUGCGAAAGCCAGGGGAGCGAACCGGAUUAGAUACCCUGGUAGUC